GCAGCACUGUGGGCUUGACCCAGAACCCACUGAAGUUAAGGGCAGAGUCCCGUUAGCUUCUGUGGGCUGUAGGUCAGGCUCCACGUGUUAU
rnacentral:pre_miRNA from 1 species